AACGAACGCUGGCGGCAUGCCUAACACAUGCCAGUCGAACGAGACCUUCGGGUCUAGUGGCGCACGGGUGCGUAACGCGUGGGAACCUGCCCUUAGGUUCGGAAUAACUCCCCGAAAGGGGUGCUAAUACCGGAUAAUGUCUUCGGACCAAAGAUUUAUCGCCUUUGGAUGGGCCCGCGUUGGAUUAGCUAGUUGGUAGGGUAAAAGCCUACCAAGGCGACGAUCCAUAGCUGGUCUGAGAGGAUGAUCAGCCACACUGGGACUGAGACACGGCCCAGACUCCUACGGGAGGAAGCAGUGGGGAAUAUUGGACAAUGGGCGAAAGCCUGAUCCAGCAAUGCCGCGUGAGUGAUGAAGGCCUUAGGGUUGUAAAGCUCUUUUACCCGGGAUGAUAAUGACAGUACCGGGAGAAUAAGCGCCGGCUAACUCCGUG
rnacentral:rRNA from 1 species